rnacentral:rRNA from 1 species
AGAGUUUGAUCCUGGCUCAGGACGAACGCUGGCGGCGUGCCUAAUACAUGCAAGUAGGACGCACAGUUUAUACCGUAGCUUGCUACACCAUAGACUGUGAGUUGCGAACGGGUGAGUAACGCGUAGGUAACCUGCCUAUUAGAGGGGGAUAACUAUUGGAAACGAUAGCUAAUACCGCAUAACAGUAUGUAACACAUGUUAGAUGCUUGAAAGAUGCAAUUGCAUCGCUAGUAGAUGGACCUGCGUUGUAUUAGCUAGUAGGUAGGGUAAUGGCCUACCUAGGCGACGAUACAUAGCCGACCUGAGAGGGUGAUCGGCCACACUGGGACUGAGACACGGCCCAGACUCCUACGGGAGGCAGCAGUAGGGAAUCUUCGGCAAUGGGGGGAACCCUGACCGAGCAACGCCGCGUGAGUGAAGAAGGUUUUCGGAUCGUAAAGCUCUGUUGUUAAGGAAGAACGAGUGUGAGAAUGGAAAGUUCAUACUGUGACGGUACUUAACCAGAAAGGGACGGCUAACUACGUGCCAGCAGCCGCGGUAAUACGUAGGUCCCGAGCGUUGUCCGGAUUUAUUGGGCGUAAAGCGAGCGCAGGCGGUUAGAAAAGUCUGAAGUGAAAGGCAGUGGCUCAACCAUUGUAGGCUUUGGAAACUGUUUAACUUGAGUGCAGAAGGGGAGAGUGGAAUUCCAUGUGUAGCGGUGAAAUGCGUAGAUAUAUGGAGGAACACCGGUGGCGAAAGCGGCUCUCUGGUCUGUAACUGACGCUGAGGCUCGAAAGCGUGGGGAGCGAACAGGAUUAGAUACCCUGGUAGUCCACGCCGUAAACG